rnacentral:lncRNA from 1 species
UACCAUAAAUAUAUAACACAACUAGCUUUAGCAAAUAAUAUGAUUGAUAUCAGUUAAUAUAGAAAAACCACCUCCGAUGACAAGCGAGGUAGAUCACUACACGCUGAUGCGAGGCCGUCAACUUUCCGGGACGUUCUACCUCCACACGAGACCACCUACCCCCGGGCGCUCUACCUCUAUGCGAGAAUGUCGACUCCUCGGGUGCUCUACCUCAACAAGAGAUCAUCGCCCCUUCGAGGGAGCUCUAGAUCGUCGACUCCCUGGGUGCUCUACUUCAACAAGGGAACGUCGCCCCCUCCUCAAGGGGGCUCUACCUCUACGCAUGACCAUCAACCCCCGGGCACUCUAUCUCAACGUAAGACCACCGAUCGACAUGGAAUUGCCUAUAGGACCAUCUCAACACUUAGCCACCAAAUCCCAGAUGAAUUGACGAGGUUACAUGACGAUUACUACGGGCGCAACCUUCAGAUGGGAAAUUAAGAUCCCCCACUCUGAACGUGGGGAUAAUGGGAAGGCCAACGUGGAACACGUGGCACCACAACCACCCGGACUUCACUCGAUUUUCGACGUCUAUAAAUACCCCCAAGGGCGACACAGGUAUAGAUGAUUGGAUACUUUUUCAGCCAUCUGAAUUCCAAUUUAUUUUCUCCUAAUACGUAUACCGAUUCUCACGCCGGAUGUAAAACGGGGGAGAAAGUCCCGCCUUCACUUUCCAGAUUAAACACACCCGUCGGAGUAGCAGGAACGCCAAACACCGUCAGGCAAUCAGAAGGCAUUAUUCCACCACAAUUUCAAUGACGAUCACAAGUUUUGAAGACAAUAAACAAGGACAAAUAAUGAAAAAGAGGGUUAAGUCUUUCUCGAAACGACACUAUUAA